UGAGGUGAGUUCCAUUUUGAUUAACGACAAAAAAAUUACCAAGUAUAUGAGAAAUACCUUCUCAAGCUUUCCCCUAACUGAUUAUAGAGACAACCUAGUUUUCUGAAAGACUCAGGGGAGAGUCAGGCAGGCAAGCUUUAUUUAACUAAUUUGUUCAUUGAUAACAAUAUUCAUGACGCUAUGUCUAUGGCUUUCAAAUAACAGAACGGUGUAAAAACUAAAGAAAAAAUUCAGGUGAAGGACAUCCAAAACAAAUCUUCACAAUCCAUUCCCAAGGUAUAUUAAUUAUUAUAUUCGUUCUCUUCAUUCUCGGACACCUGUAAUAAAUUUCAGCAGACAUUAGGUACUUCCUCCCAUUGAUUGAACUUAUAUAUACAAGAAUUUCCCGUCACCUAAAAAUUUAUACACAUUAAUGAUUACAGAAGAACCAAGCAGAGGAAUCGGAGACUAAUAAACUUCGGAAGAACUCAUCAUUCAAAACAUUGCCAUUGCCAAGCUUCAUUCGUCGGUAUGAAUCGACCUCAAAACCUGAGAUAAAGAAGGUUCCUACAACUGGCCCAAGGUCUGCUCUGCCUGGCCGCCAAGGACACAAGUCUAUCAGCGAUGCUGAGAAGAACAAAACCAAAAACAUAGGCAAGAACACCGUUUCAAAAACAAUAAGCAGGAGUGCGAAGGAGACUAUAAGCAAACUAAUUAAAGGGACUCGGAAGGCUUUGAAUCCUUCAAAAGAGACUGUUAAAUCUGUUGUUUCAAUUGCCUGAUUGACGAUGCAGACCAGGACUUCGUGAUGACACGGCAAUUUAUAGCGUGUUCUUGUUCAAUUAUUAAGAGUUUUUUUCUGCAGUGGAAUUUGAGAUGCCAUAACAUGUGGCAGGGAUAGAAUACACAUCAAUUUAGGAUUUAUCCUCCCUCCCUUGUAUGCAAUGAAUCCAUGUGUUAAGUAUUAUGUAAUGUUAAUUAGCCAUGAUCUUGGGAUAUGGCAUGCCCAGAUUAGCAAAGAAGCUCCCUUUUCACUUCCA